rnacentral:pre_miRNA from 1 species
AGGAGCAACAGCCCCAGUGGCGGGGCCAGCUCUGGAGCCCUGGAUUCAGCGCCCGCAGGAACUCCAGAGCUCUCCGUCUGCAGGGCCUGGAGGCUCCGGGGCGGG